rnacentral:rRNA from 1 species
CCUACGGGAGGCAGCAGUGAGGGAUAUUGGUCAAUGGACGAGAGUCUGAACCAGCCAAGUAGCGUGAAGGAUGACUGCCCUAUGGGUUGUAAACUUCUUUUAUAAAGGAAUAAAACAAGGCACGUGUGCCUUUUUGCAUGUACUUUAUGAAUAAGGAUCGGCUAACUCCGUGCCAGCAGCCGCGGUAAUACGGAGGAUCCGAGCGUUAUCCGGAUGUAGUGGGUUUAAAGGGAGAGUAGAUGGGUUGGUAAGUCAGUUGUGAAAGUUUGCGGCUCAACCGUAAAAUUGCAAUUGAUACUGGAAGUCUUGAGUACAGGUGAGGUAGGCGGAAUUCGUGGUGUAGCGGUGAAAUGCUUAGAUAUCACGAAGAACCCCGAUUGCGAAGGCAGCUUACUAAACUGUGACUGACAUUGAUGCCCGAAAGUGUGGGUAUCAAACAGGAUUAGAUACCCCUGUAGUC